rnacentral:rRNA from 1 species
UCAGCUUGUGUGUUAGUGGAACGGUCUGGAAAGUCCGACGGUACAGGGUGAUAGUCCCGUACACCAAAAUGCACAGGCUGUGAACUCGAAGAGUAGGGCGGGACACGUGGUAUCCUGUCUGAAUAUGGGGGGACCAUCCUCCAAGGCUAAAUACUCCUGACUGACCGAUAGUGAACCAGUACCGUGAGGGAAAGGCGAAAAGAACCCCGGCGAGGGGAGUGAAAAAGAACCUGAAACCGUGUACGUACAAGCAGUGGGAGCACCUUCGGGUGUGACUGCGUACCUUUUGUAUAAUGGGUCAGCGACUUAUAUUCUGUAGCAAGGUUAACCGUAUAGGGGAGCCGCAGGGAAACCGAGUCUUAACUGGGCGUUAAGUUGCAGGGUAUAGACCCGAAACCCGGUGAUCUAGCCAUGGGCAGGUUGAAGGUUGGGUAACACUAACUGGAGGACCGAACCGACUAAUGUUGAAAAAUUAGCGGAUGACUUGUGGCUGGGGGUGAAAGGCCAAUCAAACCGGGAGAUAGCUGGUUCUCCCCGAAAGCUAUUUAGGUAGCGCCUCGUGAA